rnacentral:rRNA from 1 species
AUGAACGCUGGCGGCGUGCCUAAUACAUGCAAGUCGAGCGAACGGACGAGAAGCUUGCUUCUCUGAUGUUAGCGGCGGACGGGUGAGUAAUACGUGGAUAACCUACCUAUAAGACUGGGAUAACUUCGGGAAACCGGAGCUAAUACCGGAUAAUAUUUUGAACCGCAUGGUUCAAAAGUGAAAGACGGUCUUGCUGUCACUUAUAGAUGGAUCCGCGCUGCAUUAGCUAGUUGGUAAGGUAACGGCUUACCAAGGCAACGAUGCAUAGCCGACCUGAGAGGGUGAUCGGCCACACUGGAACUGAGACACGGUCCAGACUCCUACGGGAGGCAGCAGUAGGGAAUCUUCCGCAAUGGGCGAAAGCCUGACGGAGCAACGCCGCGUGAGUGAUGAAGGUCUUCGGAUCGUAAAACUCUGUUAUUAGGGAAGAACAUAUGUGUAAGUAACUGUGCACAUCUUGACGGUACCUAAUCAGAAAGCCACGGCUAACUACGUG